UGAGGACGGGCCUUGUCUUUCUGCAGAGCCGUAUCCUUCGCCGUCUUCUCCGUGUGCCAGUAUACCCACAUGUGCAAGAGGAAUGGCUGAAUCUAACUACAUGAGCCCAGCUGAGCAGCCCAGAUGAGAAUACGCUACUCAUUCAACUUCGGGUUUUAUUCACGUAACCUGAGUACCUGUGGGGAUUCCUUGUGACCUCGUUUCUACAUGAAGUCACGUUCAAAGAAGCCCAAUCCAGCAAGCGAAGGAGAGAGCUUUCCAUCUUCAGGCACACCUCUCAAAGAGAUGAAAAAGAAUGAGGUCCCUGUUUCCUUUUCUCUCUUGCUAUCUUGGGCUUCAAGUCUUCUUUAGAAACUUUGACUCUUCCAAGGCACCCCAAACCCUCCGGGCAUCCAUAAUCGACCUGACACGCCAUGACUCUCGACUUUCUGCAUCCCCAUUAUACACAAAGAACUCAACACCUAUGUCUUUUUUUUUUUUUUUUCUUCUGGUCCCUCCUUCCCUACCCCCUCUAUGUUCUUCUUGAGUUUUCUUUCCACUUCACUGCUGACCCAAAUUCCUCCCUCCGACAGGGUGGGGGGACUCAGAGACUGAUCUGGCAAGCCAGGAUGCUCCCCCGCGACCUGGGUCUCUCCAGCACUGUCUGUCCCUUCCUAUCCUCCCAGGAACUACGCUGGCCAAAAUGGAGCUCUGAGGGAGCUGAAUGAGAAGAAACAGAGCAGGCCAAGACUGCAUUUUUGGAGAGUGGGGGACUUUGGACGCCCCGUGUUCCAGACGGCAUGCCAAAAGGGGGAGGGUCUCGCCACUCACAGGGCACCUGAUAUGCGCAAGAAAUAAACUUCCAUCUCAAGAUUGAGAUUUCAGUCUUGUCACUGCCACAUGGCCUGGCCUGGCCCCCUGAAUAGUCAGAGCGUCAGAAUUAACGGAGUAAUUGCUAUUCUUGAGCUCUUUAAUGUGAGGAAGGAAGAAGCUGUCUCUGGAGCCACGCGGGGCAGCUGAUUGACGCUUUCCCUGACUGUCAUCAUCUAGCACAGAUGGCACUUCCUGUUUGGUAACACCUCACGUGGGCUUCUUCAUCCCCCACUGACUCUGCCAGUCACCAUCCUACACAGUCAAAUGUGCACAGUAUUAGAAGUUUGCCAAGAGCACAUCCUUGUGUCUGCCAAGGAGUGUCUGUUAGAGGAAGAGUAUUCUAGCAGACGAUGUUCAGAGGAGAAAUGGACCACCCCAGGAGGCAGCAAACCCCUUGUCUCUGAGUUUCCUCAUUUGAGAACGGGAAGAAAGAUACUGACCCACCUUGAAGAAUUUCCGUGAGGACCCAGUAAGAAGACAGGCUGAAAACAUUUCGAAAACCCUACAAAGACCAAAGUUGUCAUUUCAAGGAGGAAUUCAUUCAGCGGCAGAUAAGUCGCCCAGUUUCGAAUCUUGCUUCUACCUGUCUCUAGCUGCGUGUCCAAGGACGAAAUGGAGUAUUUUUUUUUUUGAGAAUUUGUUUUCCAUCUUUAAAAUGGGAGCAAAAGGAAUAUCCACCUCUUAGCAUUUCUGCGAAGAUGGUGUGAAAUUGUGAGCAAGACCAUUCAUUCGCUGAGGAUUCCCUGUUUCUAUCAGCAAUCAUGUAACCAUGCUGUGUUUGGACCAUGUGUGGACAAGGAUGCCUGUAACAUAUAUGGAUUUGUCUAGGCAGCGGGACUCUGACUUCAGAUAGGAGUGUGUGCCGUGGGCUAGGCUGCCGGCAGGUAAGGCCUGGGAUUGGCUCCUCCAUAUAAAAUCUAAAAAAAAAAAAAAAAAAAAAAAUUAUAAGGCCUCUAAUGAUUAUUAUGAAAAUUAAGUAAGUCAAUGUUUGCAAAAGUGCCUUGUAAAUCGCAGCACAAAUACCGAAGAAAGUCAUGGUGUGUAGAAUUUGGUCUGAAAAUACUAGCUGACGCUUGACUGUGUCCCCAGCUCUUCGCUGGAAGCUGCAGAGAAACCAAAUGGGGUUAAGCCUUGUUCGCCCAUCGUGGGGCUGGUGGGCUUUCUCAGCGUGAAAGCCUUUCCCUGCCCCUUCCUUCGAACACGCUUCGAUUAAGCACCUAUUAAUAGGCCAGGUUCUGGGCUAGAAGCUGAAUAGUGUGGUGAUCACCGUCUCCUAGGGGACAGACGCUGAGCAAACGGGUAGGUUGCAAAGCCCCGCUGGGGAGCCAGGGAUUGUCACAGAGAAACGGAUGGGUUCAAAGGGCACAAGGCAAGGCUCUCUGAGCCUCCGUUGCAUCAUCUCUCAGAUCCGGACGGGUGGCCUGAACGUUCUCUUGGAAAUCGGUAGCUUGGUUGGAGAGAGUAACCACGAGGUGGGGUGGGCGAGUGGACAGAGGCCAAUUUACGGCGGACCUAGCACUGGGGAAGAGGGAAGCAGUGGUGAUCUUGGCCCUUGGAGAGUCCAUAGUGCGGUGGAAAGACAAGAAAGCAGCCAGUGACAGCGUAGUCUGGUCUGAGUUUUGACAGGCUAAGUGAGGCCAAGAGGUACGGGAGCCCAGAGGAGGAACCCUUUUCCCCAGCCUGGGAAGUUGGAGUGGAAGUUAGCAAAGCAGAGACGCAAGCUAAGGGAGUUCUAGGCAGAGGGAACCGAAUGAGCAAAGGCAUGGAGUUCUAUCCAGCGAAGACACAGAAUCUGAAAUGGGGCGCGAUAAGGCUGCAGGAGGUACACAGUGAACUUGAACGCCGUGGUGGGGAACUUGAACUUUACCCUGUAUGUAGCGGGGAGCUACUUUAGAUGCAGAAGCAUGAGAUUAAGGAUUAAUCAGGCUUUGCCACCAGGAUGGCAACUGCGAGUGGGUCCAGGGGAGGCAGGCUGCAGAAGUCCUAGAGGCCAACGUGGAAGGCACUUGUCUGGGGUUGAGCCCAUCGUAUAGCAAGUCUAGAGUGCCAUUGAACUUCCACGGACUCAGCGGCAACCUUCCCCACACAGUGCCCCUGGUCCGGGGAGGAUGGGGCCCCGAGCUGAGAACUCUCCUGCAGGGCCCAGGCCUUCAGAACAGCCCUCCGGGGGGAUGGCCCCCUCCAGCCUCGAUGGGCUAGUUCAGGCUGCUUUAGCUGGGGCCCAUUUGGCUGCAAGGGACAUUUUGCUCAAGCCAAAUGAUGACCUUGUGGAAGGGAGAUGGCGAAGUUUCACAAAACCCAGGGGUGAAAGCUUCAGCCCCGCUUCUGAGGAACUAAGAGUCCAAAACUGCAGAGUCCUGCCUAAGGCUCUUUUCCCACACUCGUGGCUCUCCUUCCUCCUUCUUCCCUCCAUCAGAGGGCCAGCUCUCUCUGGUAGAGGAGAGCCCCACUGCCCGGCUUCUCCUCCUCACCGCCAAAUGCCCCGUAGUGGCGGAGGAGAGGACCUCCCUCCGGUCGCUGGGAUCCGGGCAGUCUGAGGGGCUGUGCCUCGGGUCAGGGGGCCUGGGGCCAAGAAAGGGGGUGUGUCCCAGACAGCAGGGCUCCGGAGCCUACUCCUCUGGGUCUGUUGGGGGGUGGGCUUGUGGGUGGGAGGGGUGCCGGCGCUGGAUUGGCCCCCAAGGGCUAUCCGUUCUAUUAGACCCGGUGAGCCUGCCCUCCAGGUGCACAAGUAGUCAGAAUCCACAGAGACCUCCACUCACCUUUUCAGGAAGGGAGACAGACCAGAAAAAUCCCCAUGUUUGCUACUGUGGACAGUGAAAGCAGGUAAGUAAAGGGUCCGAGAAGAGCUUGCCUUGGGGGUGGUGGGCAGGGGUGCGGGAGGGCUGGGCCCUUUUGCUACGGGCUUGGGGAGCCGGUUCAGAGCCCGGCGACCUGGUAGGAGGUGGCCGAUCUUGGAGGAAGAGGCUGAGGCCCCUAGGGCUGGAGGCUAACGGGGGCAGAGCCAGCAUCUUGGGGCUGAGGAGGGGCCCAAGACUUCUGGGGUGGGCAUGCGAGGUUCCUUUGUUUCAGAUGCCCCGUGGACUUCACACGGCACCAGCUGGAGGAACCAGAGACCAUUGGGUGGUUUUCCCCAAAUGUGGAGGAAUCUCUCCCCUCCCCCACCUCUGGUGUUGCUAGACGCUGGGCUUCCUGGGGGUUCUCAUAAACUCAGGAGGCUCUGUAAUCGUUUCCAUAUAGAAUGGUUUCCCUGCAUAGCGAAGGAGGCCAGCUGUAGCUGAUGGAACACAAAACAGCAUGCGCUCCUGGGGGAUAAACGUGAACGCCCAUCCCUGUGCCUGGCACGCCCCCCACCCCGUCCCCCCAACUCCAGGAGGGAGGAGGUUGCCCAGUGGUUAAGCACGUGGCCUCUGGUCUCUGCACCACACGCUUCAACUCCGGCACGAUUGCUCACCGGUCGAAACCCCAGGCACAUUACUUAAAUCUUGCCGGGUCUCAGUUUUCUCUCCUGUGAAAUGGGCAUGAUGAUAGCCCGAAGAAAGGUUGUGGUCCUCAGGAUUUAAUGAGACACCUGGAAUAGCACGCAGCACGGGUGUCUGGAUGGGCUCACUAACACUAGCGGUUUCGAUGGUCACUGUCCCUGCUUCGGCACGUGCUGCAGGGCUCAGCCCAGUCCCUUGUGGUUUCUCUAUUGGUUUCCAGUGCUGUUACAACAUACCUGAUGCGCUAACCAUCCCCACGUCCUCCGUGCUUGCUAAACUCUCCCCACAACUUGCUUGGGCUCUUUCCUCCUCUGUGAACCCUCCUUGUGAGAGCUGCCUGGCCACAACCUCACCGCUCCUUGGGGUGCUGCCCGACCCGCCCUCCUUCCUGAAAGCGUGCCGCAGAUCCGGGAAGGAAUUCGCCACUUCGCCUCCAACUCCCCAGGCUCAGAAUUUCCACGAAUCUCUGUGAGAGGGAGGCAGCAGCACGCAGCACGUCACGUCACGGUGCAGCUCUAGGGUGGCACAGCUGUAGCCCUAGCUGUGUGACCUUGGCUUGCCUGGGCCUCAGUGUCCUUGCGUGUCACAUGGAGACAAUGCAGGCAGAGCUUUGUUCACAGGGCUGUGGUAAGACACGUAAAGCAGAGACAAUGCCUCCUGGCACCUCUGAAGGGCUCACAAAAUAUUGGAUAUUUCUAUAAAAAUAAUCUCCAAAAGCCUGGCUUUUAAUGGCUGUGAUAUCUACUGUGUGGGUAGAUCAUAAUUUCAUUAACCAGCCCCUUGUUGUUGGGCAUUUAGACCGCUUCCACUCUUUCGCUAUUAUAAAUAAUGCUGCGGUGAACAUCUUGUAUAUAAAUCUUUCUGUUUAUCUCUGCUUCUUUAAAAGAGCUCCCCAAAGACUGCUUGUCUUAGAACAAAGCCCCUGCCCCCCAGACUUUCCAGUGAUGCCCUUUGAAAUAAAAGCAAAGCCUGUUUUCCACCAGGGAAAGGAACAUAUGGAACAUGUUAACCAAGAGGUGGUUCAGGAGGAAGGUAGAAAUAGGUUCAAGAUGGGUUUGGAUCCAUUUCAGGAUAUCUGACACAAAGCCAGUGAUACAGCUCCCCUCGAGCCUCCUUCCCGGAGCGAGGCAGAGGCUGAUCCUCGGGGACCACUGACUUCUUUCUUUGAGAGAGUUCCAAAGGGCUUUGAUGUUCUUGGCGUGGGAGAAGCAACAAUGACAGAUCAAUAAACGAAGCCAGAAUGUGUGGACAAUCCGGGACUCCUCCAGCCGGUAGGGGGCGAUAUCGCCUGCUUCUGUCUUCCAGUUGGGCCUAGGGUUUCUCCCUAACAAGGACUUCCUUUGUUGUUGUCUUAAAACUUUGGCUUACGCUUUAUAUAUUUCUCUCGCCUGUUUUCCUUCCUCUCCUCCCACCUACGCACUUUUCAGAAUCACUUUGGGUUGCCAUUCAUUCAUCCCCUUCCUUUGGGAGAAAUGUACUGCGUGCUUCCCCUAGGCCAGACAUCAAGAUUGUGUUCAGACUUUCUAAGACCUAGACGCGCUUGCUCUGGAAGUGCCGACUCACACGGAUCAAAUGUAUUGCAAUUCACCCAUAUUCCAUAUGAGGUAUAUUUUUCCUGUGAAGAAAAAUAAGGAUUAUAUUUUAUAACGUCACUUUUGAAAUUAUUUGGCUACAAGUAAUUCGUUCCAUCUACGGCCGGCUUUGAUUUUGCAGCAGUUAUGGGGGUGCUCGAGAGGUCUUGCAAAGUGAGAAACAUCUAACCUGCACGUCGUCCUCAAAGAUAGUGAAAUGUUUACGAAUUUUUAGGAAUGCUAAAUGAAACCAUGAAUGCGGUUGAUGUAAUAUUCUGUUUUGUGGACGUUUCUGUACAAUUUUAUUCAUUUCCAUUGCAAAGCUUUUCCUUCGUGUUUGGGAUCCAAUAAUUUUGUUUUCAGGUCUACAGACAGUUUUUAGGGAUCUCUGAAAAGUUCCCAGGCCCUGUAACCGUGCCCAGUGGUUAGCAGAGCCCUCUGUGAGGCUCGGACAUGGAGAAACGGAAGAGUUGGGACAGUUUUUACAGAGUUCCCAGGCCAUCGAGUGACACAUCGAGUGGCAAACUAAUUUAGGUAAGCGUUGCUAUAACGGAGUGUGAGCGGGACACAGUGAAAGUAUCAUUUGCUCUAAGUUGAGACUCCAGGGGGAGUCAGUGAAGACUUUCAGAGAGCAGGUGCGUCCGAGCCAGAAUAUGCGACUGGCGAACAGUUUUCGAAGCAGAUACCAGUGGGGAGGGUGUUGCGGGCAGGCGGCACAGCACAUACAAAGGGGGUGGCCGGGAAAAGAACCUCUGCCUAUGAACAAGCCAGCUGACCUCUCAGUGCUGCCCACACCGAUCGCUAGGGCGUCGUUUUCCAGACCAGCGGCACUGGUGUUGGAAAGGCGGUCGUAGGCUCCCCCCCCCCCCCCGACCCGGAUCUCCUCCGUGUUAAUAGGAUCCAUGGCGAUUUGAAUGAACCCCAAGAUCUGAGAGGCAGGCUCUAGUUCCAGCUGGAUCGGAGCUAGGCCUCCUCAGGGAUUGGGGCUGUGGGAGAUGGGGAAGGUGGUGGUCGGCCCGCGAAACUGCAGCCCCGACAGAGCGGCAGGCCAGCUGUUUCAAAAGUUGUUUUCAAGUUUGGCCUGCGAGCCCGUCUGGGGCGGGGGGCGGGGGGGGGGGGGCGGCCAGACUGUUCGAUGAUUGUUGGAGGGCUGGGCUUUUCUGUUUGGAGACUCCUCCAUGCACUGGGCCCACACUGUCCCUUCUGCUGGCCUACACUCCAGACAGCCUGUCUUGCCUGUUGGCUCCCCUAGCCGGUGCAUCACCGAUUACCUAAUAGACUGUAGGCUGUGUGCGUAAUUUAUUCCUGUGAGUAAUUGAUCACAUUAGGAUGAGCAGGGGAAGUACCAGGGAGAGAAGGGAGAAGAAGCAUCAAUAACCAGGGGAAGGAAAACUGCUACAGUCAGCUAAUUAGAUAUCUCUCUUGAGCAGCUCUUUCAACAUGAUGGCCCAUCCCGCUGCUGCUGGCUGAGCACCCCCUCCCCCUGCCCCCACGUGUGGAGGGGCUUUCUGACGGGUGAGGACUAGAGCCAGGAAACUUGGCUCAUAGGCCGGGUAAUCUUAGGCAAAUUACUUCUCUCUGGGCCUCAGUUUUAUUGACUUACAACAUGGGGAAGGCUGGAUCAGUGGUUUCCAAACAUGGCUGAUAGCGGAAUCACCAGAGGUGUUUUAGAAAAUAUCAACCCCAAGGUCGCUGAGACAGGAGGUACGGAUCGAGGCCAGGAAGCUGGGCGAUCAUGAGCACCUCCUCCGACUCUGACGCGGUUGGUCUGACAGAAAUGCGGGAACCCCUGGGUUGGAAAGAUAACCUCGGAGCUCCUGGCCUGCUCUGACGUUUCCAGGUCAUUGGGAGAGACAGAGCAUGAAUGGGGGAGGGUCAGAGAGAGAG